rnacentral:rRNA from 1 species
UCAGAAGUGCGAAUGCUGACAUAAGUAACGAUAAAGCGGGUGAAAAGCCCGCUCGCCGGAAGACCAAGGGUUCCUGUCCAACGUUAAUCGGGGCAGGGUGAGUCGACCCCUAAGGCGAGGCCGAAAGGCGUAGUCGAUGGGAAACAGGUUAAUAUUCCUGUACUUGGUGUUACUGCGAAGGGGGGACGGAGAAGGCUAUGUUGGCCGGGCGACGGUUGUCCCGGUUUAAGCGUGUAGGCUGGUUUUCCAGGCAAAUCCGGAAAAUCAAGGCUGAGGCGUGAUGACGAGGCACUACGGUGCUGAAGCAACAAAUGCCCUGCUUCCAGGAAAAGCCUCUAAGCAUCAGGUAACAUCAAAUCGUACCCCAAACCGACACAGGUGGUCAGGUAGAGAAUACCAAGGCGCUUGAGAGAACUCGGGUGAAGGAACUAGGCAAAAUGGUGCCGUAACUUCGGGAGAAGGCACGCUGAUAUGUAGGUGAAGCGACUUGCUCGUGGAGCUGAAAUCAGUCGAAGAUACCAGCUGGCUGCAACUGUUUAUUAAAAACACAGCACUGUGCAAACACGAAAGUGGACGUAUACGGUGUGACGCCUGCCCGGUGCCGGAAGGUUAAUUGAUGGGGUUAGCGGUAACGCGAAGCUCUUGAUCGAAGCCCCGGUAAACGGCGGCCGUAACUAUAACGGUCCUAAGGUAGCGAAAUUCCUUGUCGGGUAAGUUCCGACCUGCACGAAUGGCGUAAUGAUGGCCAGGCUGUCUCCACCCGAGACUCAGUGAAAUUGAACUCGCUGUGAAGAUGCAGUGUACCCGCGGCAAGACGGAAAGACCCCGUGAACCUUUACUAUAGCUUGACACUGAACAUUGAGCCUUGAUGUGUAGGAUAGGUGGGAGGCUUUGAAGUGUGGACGCCAGUCUGCAUGGAGCCGGCCUUGAAAUACCACCCUUUAAUGUUUGAUGUUCUAACGUUGGCCCCUGAUCGGGGUUGCGGACAGUGUCUGGUGGGUAGUUUGACUGGGGCGGUCUCCUCCUAAAGAGUAACGGAGGAGCACGAAGGUUGGCUAAUCCUGGUCGGACAUCAGGAGGUUAGUGCAAUGGCAUAAGCCAGCUUGACUGCGAGCGUGACGGCGCGAGCAGGUGCGAAAGCAGGUCAUAGUGAUCCGGUGGUUCUGAAUGGAAGGGCCAUCGCUCAACGGAUAAAAGGUACUCCGGGGAUAACAGGCUGAUACCGCCCAAGAGUUCAUAUCGACGGCGGUGUUUGGCACCUCGAUGUCGGCUCAUCACAUCCUGGGGCUGAAGUAGGUCCCAAGGGUAUGGCUGUUCGCCAUUUAAAGUGGUACGCGAGCUGGGUUUAGAACGUCGUGAGACAGUUCGGUCCCUAUCUGCCGUGGGCGCUGGAGAACUGAGGGGGGCUGCUCCUAGUACGAGAGGACCGGAGUGGACGCAUCACUGGUGUUCGGGUUGUCAUGCCAAUGGCACUGCCCGGUAGCUAAAUGCGGAAGAGAUAAGUGCUGAAAGCAUCUAAGCACGAAACUUGCCCCGAGAUGAGUUCUCCCUGAGACUUUAAGUCUCCUGAAGGAACGUUGAAGACGACGACGUUGAUAGGCCGGGUGUGUAAGCGCAGCGAUGCGUUGAGCUAA